rnacentral:misc_RNA from 1 species
GAAAUGCGAUAAGUAAUGUGAAUUGCAGAGUUUUGUGAAUCAUCGAAUCUUUGAACGCACAUUGCGCCCCUCGGUAUUCCGACGGGCAUGCCUGUCCGAGCGUCGUUGCAACCCAUCGAGUGACAUGUCUCUCGGUCUUGGGCGCCGUCCCCUACGUCCCUUCCCCCGGGGGACGGGGACGGGCCCCAAAGUCCUCGGCGGCCUCGAGCGUGCACCGGAGCGUCUUCGAAAGCAAUCGCUCCGCGCGUCGCGCCCGGGUUCCGGCCCCCCCUCUCUCAUAUCGUCUUGACCUCGGAUCAGGUAGGGCUACCCGCUGAACUUAAGC